CUAUUUCAAUACAAGCAAGUGAAUUUGACUCCUCAGAUGAAGAGCCUGGUGAAGAUGAACAGACUCCAAUUCAGAUUUCUUGGCUACCUCUAUCACAAAUAAAUUGUUCUCAGUUUCUCGGUUUAUGUGCUCUUCCAGGUUGUAAAUUUAAAGAUGUUAGAAGAAAUGUUCACAAAGACACAGGUAAGUGAAAUAUG